UUUCAUUAAACGAUUAUAACAUUUUAUUGAUUCAGUUUACCACCAAAAACAGUUCAUUUAAAUCCAAAGCAUUCAUGAUGUUGUGAAAGAAAAGUUAAAAGAACAAACAUAUAUUAAAAUAUUAAAGAGAGUUAGAUUUAAUUUGUUGUUCAGUUGUUGGUUUAACUUUUUAUAUCUAAGGUUCAAGAUUAUGGUUUGAGUUUGUUUGCUAUCUACAAUCAUUUAUAGAAUUUUCAUCAGUUUAAAAUACCCCAAAUUAAAAUUAUUUCAACAGAAAAACUUUAAUGAUGAAUCAGAUAUGAAUUGAACCAAACCUGUGGUGACUAUCUGCAGUAUAACAUAAAUUUGAUGUCAAGACUUAAGUCAUUAUAUAUUUUUGAAGACUGGAUAUGGUGAUUAACACUUUGUUUGUUUGUGUCUGCAAUUCCAGUUGACGAAAGCAAUCAAAAGAGUAAGCAUGAGUUACAUUCAUUUGAAAUAAAAACUGAGUUAGAUAAUUUGUUGAGUAAAAACUUUCUUUAUUUUUCCAGAAGACUUGGAGACAUUGAAGUACUCCCCCAUCGCUGCACUGGUUCUUGCUCUCAUCCUUUGUUGUUUAACUGGAGUUCACUUUUACAAAACGAAUACUGAUUUCUCCAUAAUUCUUCGAUCUGAUUAUGCGUUGAAAUGGAGAGAGCCAUUAUCUGGAAUACAAUGGGGACCCUGAAACAAGACGUAAUUAUAAGACCUUGACUUUACAUAUUGAAGUAUUAAUGCAUUUGUUUUUUAUUUAUUAUUGAUUGAUUUGCACACUGAUAUUGUUUCGCUGACUUGUUGAAUGGACAUUAUAUGGCUCACUACUUGAAUGCAAACACAAGGCUGUGUUUGUAUAUUAUUUCAGUGCAAACUGUGUUUUGAAUUUAUCUUUGUACUGUGGAUUCAUAACUGUGUAGACUCACAAAUUAUCACGGUUAGCGCUGGCCAACCGUGGGGAUGUGAG